rnacentral:rRNA from 1 species
UACGAAGGGGGCUAGCGUUGUUCGGAAUCACUGGGCGUAAAGCGCACGUAGGCGGAUCUUUAAGUCAGGGGUGAAAUCCCGAGGCUCAACCUCGGAACUGCCUUUGAUACUGGGGAUCUCGAGUCCGGGAGAGGUGAGUGGAACUGCGAGUGUAGAGGUGAAAUUCGUAGAUAUUCGGAAGGACACCAGUGGCGAAGGCGGCUCACUGGCCCGGUACUGACGCUGAGAUACGAAAGCGUGGGGAGCAAACAGG